AUGUACACAUAUCCAUUCUUUUUCAGAGGGGCCAGUCCAACUCAAAGAAUCAUUUUUUUUUUUUCCUUCUUGAAGGAGUUAGGCUCCUGUGAAUCCUACAAAGCCGAGGCUGCUGACCAGAGCACUCAUUCAAGUUAUCUGAGUGGGGGUCUCCUGACUCACCAGGAUGUGGAGAAGGAAAUGCCCCUGUUGGAAAAUGCCAGGGUUCAGAGACAAGAGACAGGCAUUCCAGUCCUUGUCCUGCCACCAACCUACAUCACUGCGGUAAGUUCUUCAAACUCUGUGGAUGUCACAAUCAUAAUUUGGGAGGUCACGUUUGAAUUAAAUAAUCUCAAAAGUCUUUCCUACCUUUAAGAGUUCUGCGUCCCUUUGAUUCAUCAGUUCAACUCAGUCAUCCACUCAGCAAAUAUUGAAUACCUUCCUAUGCAAGGUACCGUGUUGGAUGCUAGAAAUACAAUUAAGGGUGACCCUGCCUUCAGGGAGCUUACAGAUUAAAGGCAGGGGCAGACAAUUAUAAAUGACCACAUGGCUUUAUUCCUGGGAUGAAAUAGGUAUCUCUGUGGACCAAAACAAUUCACAUUUCACAUCCUUUUUGCCAUAGAACCUUCUCUGAUAGAAUUAGAUUUUCAGGAUCUUCCUAUUGGAAAGAAGUAAAUCUCUUCAUUUAAAAAAUUAUUUACAUACAGAAAGUUUGCUUGAGCAUUUUUGUGAUAUCCCAACAUGGAGUGUAUUAUUGUUAAGUUAUUGUUAUAAAUUUUCAAGUUCAUAACCCCCCCUUACCUUUGCCUUUAGAGGGGAGGUACAUAGAAGAAGAGAAAGUAUAAAAUGCUGUUAAGGUGUCCAUGCUGAUAAAUUCAUCCUUGAAUAUAAAUUUGCAUUCUAAAUUGGUUGUUAAGUUCUCAGCCUCAUGGAAGCAUAUGUUCAUUAAUAUUCAAGAAUAACUGUCUUCUGUAAAUAUCUUCUGUCCAGCUUCAAGGAACUUAGUAGAAUAGAAGGGAGUACCAUCUCUCUUUUUCAGUUACUCCCUCUUAUUCUUGCCUUAAAAGUCUGUAUGUUUUCUGGGCACUUCCCAGUGCAUCCUGUGCCUGAGUGAAAAGGAGAUGCAGAGUCUUUGUGUGGAUGUUUGCCAUCAGCAUGGGGUAUGUGUGCAAACAUCUGUGGUGUCUAUUCACUCUAUGUGGGAGCUGUGCUGUGUGGGCUUCUGCAUCCCCCCACCCCCACAUCAAUCCUCACUCCUGGGGUAAUUUUAUAGGUAAUGAAGACUCUAUUUUCUGUAACUCCAAGGUACAGUGAACCACAGGGAGCUGGGGCUGACUGGCCUCUCAGAAUUUCUCUUAUCCUACCUUAUCCUCAUGCCCGUGGGCUUGCCCUAGCCCAUCUCCAGAAUCCUGUGUGCCUUCUUCAUUCUCUUCCAAGUUCUCUUGCAGAGAAAAUAGAGUGCUGCAUAGUAUUUCAGAACCACCCUCUAUGGAAAGUUGUAUUUUCCAAAGAAGGCUGCUAGAGUAUCUCUCCCCUCAUAUUUUUCUUCAGUGUGAAUGUUUGACUCCCUCAUAUCAUGAAGAGAAGGUGCUUUCUACCUUCUUGGAUCUGGGCUCGCAUAAGUAUCUUACUUGAACAAUAGAAUGAAUUAGUAGGGAUAUUCUGGAGCAUCGGAGGCUACUUCAUAAGAAAUCUUGGAGCUGCUGCCUGCAAAGAUUGCUUUUAGACAACUAGUUCUUAUCAGAUCUCUCACACCCAAACCAAUGUAGUGAAAAGCCCAAGUCACAUGGAGAGGCUACAUGCAGGUGUUCUUGCUGAUGGUCUCAUUGAGGCCCAAGCUGACACUCAGUAUCAAGUCCUAGCCAUAUGAGUGAGUAAUUUUGCACUCCUGGCCUAUGACCCUUCAGAGUUCUCCAGAUCCACCUGCUAACUGGUGGAUACUGCAUGAGAAAUACCUAGUAAGACUAUCCAGUUGAACUUAUUCAACUGAUAGAACUGUGGAGAUAACAUAAUGUUAUUUUAAGCCAUUACGUUUUGAGCUAGUUUGUUACACACUGAUAAUUUAUGGAAGCACCUUCAAAUGUUAUGAGAGAGUCUGUUGGGUCAGGCUUUUGGAGGAAGAAGAAAAAGUUCAAUAUUCCUUUUAUUCCCCCCACCCCCACAACCCAGGAAGGGAUUGAGAAAGAGGCAAUAAUGCGACCUAGCAAUCCCUCUCCUGGGAAUAUAUUCAGAUGAAACUAUAAUUGAAAAAGAUACAUGCACUCCUUUGUUGAUUGCAGUACUAUUCACAAUAGCUAAGACAUGGAAACAAUCUAAAUGUUCAUUGACAGAUGAAGGGAUUAAGAAGAUACAGUAUAUAUAUCCAAUGGAAUAUUAGCCAUAAAAAGAAUGAAAUGAUGCCAUUUGAAGCAACAUGGAUGGACCUAGAGGUUAUCAUAUUAAAUGAAGUAAGUCAUAAAGAGAAAGAUAAACGCAAGAUACCAUGUACAUGUGGUAACUAAAAUAUGACGCAAAUUAACUUAUUACAAAACAGAAACAUACAGACAUAGAGAACAGAUCUGUGGUUGCCUAGGGGAGUUGGGAGAGGAAUGAACUGGGAGUUUGGGGUUAGCAGAUGCAAAUGAUUAUAUGUAGGAUGAAUAAACAACAAGUUCGUACUGUAUAACA
rnacentral:lncRNA from 1 species